rnacentral:rRNA from 1 species
AGUGAACGCUGGCGGUAGGCCUAACACAUGCAAGUCGAACGGCAGCACAGUAAGAGCUUGCUCUUACGGGUGGCGAGUGGCGGACGGGUGAGGAAUACAUCGGAAUCUACUUUUUCGUGGGGGAUAACGUAGGGAAACUUACGCUAAUACCGCAUACGACCUACGGGUGAAAGCAGGGGAUCUUCGGACCUUGCGCGAUUGAAUGAGCCGAUGUCGGAUUAGCUAGUUGGCGGGGGAAGGGCCCACCAAGGCGAAGAUGGGUAGCUGGUCUGAGAGGAUGAUAAGCCACACGGGAAAGGAGACACGGUACAGAGUCCUACGGGAGGCAGCAGUGGGGAAUAUGGCGCAAUGGGCGAAAGCUUGAGGCAGAAACGCCGAAGGAGUGAUGAAGGCCGUCGGGUCGGAAAGCUCGGUCGGGAGGAAGGAAUGCUCCUGAGGGUAAGAGCAUCGGGAGGUGACGGUACCUUCAAAGGAAGCACCGGCUAACUCUGUG